rnacentral:RNase_P_RNA from 2 species
GGAGAAGGACAGGUGGUCGCCGGCUCGUCAUCAGGACGAGCGGGAGGAAAGUCCGGGCUCCGCAGGACAGGAUGGUUCCUAACGGGAACCGGGGGCAACCCCAGGGAAAGUGCCACAGAGAGUAGACCGCCCGCCGAAGUCUUUGACGAAGGCGGGUAAGGGUGAAAGGGUGAGGUAAGAGCUCACCAGUGCCGAUGGCGACAUCGGCAGCUCGGUAAACCCCAUCCGGAGCAAGGCCGAAUAGAGGAGCGUUUGAGGGCGGUCCGUCCGAGGCUCCCGGGUCAGGCUGCUUGAGACCGUCGGCAACGGCGGUCCUAGAGGAAUGAUCAUCACCCCGCGGGGGGUAACCGCCGCGAGGAACAGAACCCGGCUUAUGGCCUUCUUCGGCC